UGUCACUACAAAAUCACAUUGUUGAGUCACUACCUUCGAUUCCCGGCGCCGGCAAACGUUUCCUUGUCUGGAUUAAUUUCUCGUGCGUUUCAUUACACGCAAUGGCUGUGUGGGAGUGUACGUAAUAAAGAACAACAUUCUGGCUUUUCAGUAACAGGCAGGGAGGAGUGGGCGAGGAGGCUGGAGGAGGCAGUCUGCACCUUUGGUCUGCACGGUGUUGGGGCUGUGUGGGGACAUUAAGGAAACAGAGAGAACAAUUGUAAAGCUGCCAAAGUGUUCCUGACGCAGUGCUGGAAAAAAGGGCACAAAUGCUUGAAUAAGUGGAAAUUCCAGUGGAUUCCAGCAACAAACACAAAAUCAUAAUGCCAUAGCGUAUCACAGUGAGGAAAGUUACGUACUGCUGAGAAGGAGAGUGUGAAUAAGGGGAAGAGAGGACCGAUCGAGAGGAGGACCAAGAAGCGUCACAGGUCAAAAGAAGAAGACGUGGCUGACUGUGCACGCCCCUACGCCUCCACGCCCACCAAGUGCCCCCACGCCCACCAAGUGCCCCCACGCCUCCACGCCCACCGAGUGCUCCCACGCCUCCACGCCUCCACGCCCACCGAGCUGCGGUGUUGUGGGCCCGGGGGUGGGAGGGAUAGCGUACGACACUCAAUAAUUUGGCCCACACUCGCCUGGAGUGGGCAGAGUACUGGAGCACCUGAUGGCACUUAGACAGAAGAGGGCGUGGCAUUAACAGCCCAUCUCCUGCACCCCAGGAUGUGGUGUUGGCCAUGCUGGGAGGAGCACAGCGCCAGGAGACAGCUGCUCAAGUGAGGGU